rnacentral:rRNA from 1 species
GGAUGCGAUCAUACCAGCACUAAAGCACCGGAUCCCAUCAGAACUCUGAAGUUAAGCGUGCUUGGGCGAGAGUAGUACUAGGUUGGGUGACCUCCUGGGAAGUCCUCGUGUUGCAUUCC